CGAAUUCGCCCUUCCUACGGGAGGCAGCAGUGGGGAAUAUUGCGCAAUGGGCGGAAGCCUGACGCAGCGACGCCGCGUGGGGGAUGACGGCCUUCGGGUUGUAAACCUCUUUCGACCUUGACGAAGCCUUUCGGGGUGACGGUAGGGGUAGAAGAAGCACCGGCCAACUACGUGCCAGCAGCCGCGGUAAUACGUAGGGUGCGAGCGUUGUCCGGAAUUAUUGGGCGUAAAGAACUCGUAGGCGGUCUGUCGCGUCGGUCGUGAAAACUUGGGGCUUAACCCUGAGCUUGCGGUCGAUACGGGCAUGACUGGAGUUCGGCAGGGGAGACUGGAAUUCCUGGUGUAGCGGUGAAAUGCGCAGAUAUCAGGAGGAACACCGGUGGCGAAGGCGGGUCUCUGGGCCGAUACUGACGCUGAGGAGCGAAAGCGUGGGGAGCGAACAGGAUUAGAUACCCUGGUAGUCCACGCCGUAAACGGUGGGCGCUAGGUGUGGGGGCCAUUCCACGGUCUCUGUGCCGCAGCUAACGCAUUAAGCGCCCCGCCUGGGGAGUACGGCCGCAAGGCUAAAACUCAAAGGAAUUGACGG
rnacentral:rRNA from 1 species